UCCCAGGUGGCUCAGUGGUAAAGAAUCAGCCUUCCAAGCAGGAGAUGCAGGUUUGAUCCCUGGGUUGGGAA
rnacentral:tRNA from 1 species